UGUAUUGCUAGUACAUACUAGUAAUACUUGUAGAGCUACUAGUUCUACUAGUAGUAGUAUGUACUACUAGUAAUACGCGUACUACUCGUAGUAGUACAA
rnacentral:tRNA from 1 species